UACGUAGGGUGCGAGCGUUGUCCGGAUUUAUUGGGCGUAAAGGGCUCGUAGGCGGCGUGUCGCGUCGGGAGUGAAAGCCCGUUGCUUAACGGCGGGUUGGCUUUCGGUACGGGCAUGCUGGAGUGCGGCAGGGGAGACUGGAGUUCCUGGUGUAGCGGUGGAAUGCGCAGAUAUCAGGAGGAGCACCGGUGGCGAAGGCGGGUCUCUGGGCCGUUACUGACGCUGAGGAGCGAAAGCGUGGGGAGCGAACAGG
rnacentral:rRNA from 1 species